AACGAACGCUGGCGGCAUGCCUAACACAUGCAAGUCGAACGAGACCUUCGGGUCUAGUGUCUCACGGGUGCGUAACGCGUGGGAACCUGCCCUUAGGUUCGGAAUAACUCCCCGAAAUGGGUGCUAAUACCGGUUAAUGUCUUCUGACCAAAGAUUUAUCGCCUUUGGAUGGGCCCGCGUUGGAUUAGCUUGUUGGUAGUGUAAAAGCCUACCAAGGCGACGAUACAUAGCUGGUCUGAGAGGAUGAUCAGCCACACUGGGACUGAGACACGGCCCAGACUACUACGGGAGGAAGGAGUGGGGAAUAUAGGAAAAUGGGCGAAAGCAGGAAACAGCAAUGCCGCGUGAGUGAUGAAGGCAUUAGGGUUGUAAAGCUCUUUUACAAGGGAUGAUAAUGACAGUACCGGGAGAAUAAGCAACGGCUAACUACGUG
rnacentral:rRNA from 1 species